rnacentral:rRNA from 1 species
UACGAAGGGAGCUAGCGUUGUUCGGAAUUACUGGGCGUAAAGCGCACGUAGGCGGCUUUGUAAGUUAGAGGUGAAAGCCCGGGGCUCAACCCCGGAAUUGCCUUUAAGACUGCAUCGCUUGAAUCCGGGAGAGGUGAGUGGAAUUCCGAGUGUAGAGGUGAAAUUCGUAGAUAUUCGGAAGAACACCAGUGGCGAAGGCGGCUCACUGGACCGGUAUUGACGCUGAGGUGCGAAAGCGUGGGGAGCAAACAGG